UGGGCGUAAGAGCUCGUAGGCGGUUUGUCGCGUCUGCUGUGAAAUCCCGAGGCUCAACUUCGGGUCUGCAGUGGGUACGGGCAGACUAGAGUGCGGUAGGGGAGAUUGGAAUUCCUGGUGUAGCGGUGGAAUGCGCAGAUAUCAGGAGGAACACCGAUGGCGAAGGCAGAUCUCUGGGCCGUAACUGACGCUGAGGAGCGAAAGGGUGGGGAGCAAACAGGCUUAGAUACCCUGGUAGUCCACCCCGUAAACGUUGGGAACUAGUUGUGGGGUCCAUUCCACGGAUUCCGUGACGCAGCUAACGCAUUAAGUUCCCCGCCUGGGGAGUACGGCCGCAAGGCUAAAACUCAAAGGAAUUGACGGGGACCCGCACAAGCGGCGGAGCAUGCGGAUUAAUUCGAUGCAACGCGAAGAACCUUACCAAGGCUUGACAUAUACGAGAACGCUGCAGAAAUGUAGAACUCUUUGGACACUCGUAAACAGGUGGUGCAUGGUUGUCGUCAGCUCGUGUCGUGAGAUGUUGGGUUAAGUCCCGCAACGAGCGCAACCCUCGUUCUAUGUUGCCAGCACGUAAUGGUGGGAACUCAUGGGAUACUGCCGGGGUCAACUCGGAGGAAGGUGGGGAUGACGUCAAAUCAUCAUGCCCCUUAUGUCUUGGGCUUCACGCAUGCUACAAUGGCCGGUACAAAGGGCUGCAAUACCGUGAGGUGGAGCGAAUCCCAAAAAGCCGGUCCCAGUUCGGAUUGAGGUCUGCAACUCGACCUCAUGAAGUCGGAGUCGCUAGUAAUCGCAGAUCAGCAACGCUGCGGUGAAUACGUUCCCGGGUCUUGUACACACCGCCCGUCAAGUCAUGAAAGUCGGUAACACCUGAAGCCGGUGGCCCAACCCUUGUGGAGGGAGCCGUCGAAGGUGGGAUCGGUAAUUAGGACUA
rnacentral:rRNA from 1 species